AUUGAACGCUGGCGGCAGGCUUAACACAUGCAAGUCGAGCGGGCGAGGUUGCUUCGGUAACUGAGCUAGCGGCGGACGGGUGAGUAAUGCUUAGGAAUCUGCCUAUUAGUGGGGGACAACAUUCCGAAAGGGAUGCUAAUACCGCAUACGUCCUACGGGAGAAAGCAGGGGCUCUUUAUGACCUUGCGCUAAUAGAUGAGCCUAAGUCGGAUUAGCUAGUUGGUGGGGUAAAGGCCUACCAAGGCGACGAUCUGUAGCGGGUCUGAGAGGAUGAUCCGCCACCCUGGGACUGAGACACGGCCCAGACUGCUACGGGAGGCAGCAGUGGGGAAUAUUGGACAAUGGGGGGAACCCUGAUCCAGCCAUGCCGCGUGUGCGAAGAAGGCCUUUUGGUUGUAAAGCACUUUAAGUGGGGAGGAGGCUUACCUGGUUAAUACCUGGGCUAAGUGGACGUUACCCACAGAAUAAGCACCGGCUAACUCUGUGCCAGCCGCCGCCGUAACAC
rnacentral:rRNA from 1 species